CCUACGGGUGGCAGCAGUGAGGAAUAUUGGUCAAUGGCCGUAAGGCUGAACCAGCCAAGUAGCGUGAAGGAAGAAGGACCUAUGGGUUGUAAACUUCUUUUAUAGGGGAAUAAAGGUAUCCACGUGUGGAUUUUUGCAUGUACCUUAUGAAUAAGCAUCGGCUAACUCCGUGCCAGCAGCCGCGGUAAUACGGAGGAUGCGAGCGUUAUCCGGAUUUAUUGGGUUUAAAGGGUGCGUAGGUUGGUUUUUAAGUCAGCUGUGAAAGUUUGUGGCUCAACCAUAAAAUUGCCGUUGAAACUGGCAGACUUGAGUGUGUUUGAGGUAGGCGGAAUGCGUGGUGUAGCGGUGAAAUGCAUAGAUAUCACGCAGAACUCCGAUUGCGAAGGCAGCUUACUAAGCCAUAACUGACACUGAAGCACGAAAGCGUGGGGAUCAAACAGGAUUAGAUACCCCUGUAGUC
rnacentral:rRNA from 1 species